GACCUGCAGACAGACAAAUUAAAAAAGGCAACGUCAGAUGGGGGAAGGGAGGACGGGACGCUCUCGCAUUCACGCGCCACCUGAAUGAUUGAGCGGCAAAGUGUAAACACGCUCCGCUGUUACCCGACCCAUUUGUUCCCUGCACAUUCUGCUGUCCGUUUCACAUGGCAGAGGCAAACUUGUGUACUUUUCCUUUUCUGAGGUGAAAGCAAAAGGAAAUGAAAUGCCGUUUCAUGCGGGAGAGAAGAAAAGUGAGAGUGCACGCAUGGAAUGCGGCCGCAUUGUCUCCGUUUUGUCUUAUCUCAAGUCGACGCCUUGGAGAUAAGCCACCAAGACGCAAGAUCCGGGUCAAAGGUUAACUAGCAGCACUCUGGCUAGACGUGAAAGAGAAUCACUGCACAGGUUGAGGCUCCACAUGAAUGCAGCCCCCCUCGACGUGCAGAGGUGAUCAAGUCCUCCUUACUUGGUGGAGGCGGUGCACUGCAGGCCUCCGUUGGCAGUGAGGGUCCAGUAUUUGCCAGCGGCGGUGCGGAAAGCACACUUCCUGUUCUCACGGCAAAUCUCCACUUGGAAGACUUCCUGGUCGCCUUCUUCAUCUUGAUUGGCGGACAGGUCCAUACCUGAACACAAAAGAGGCCUGACCGAGGAGGCGGACAGCUGGGCCACAAACGGGGGAGCCGCCAGAUCACCAGCCUUUUGUUCUGAUUCGCACCCCCCAUCCCAUCCCAUCCUCCUUCCAGUCUCGCCUAAGAAGCUCAAGUGAAGGAAACCCAUGCACACGGUGGGUGAUACUCGCACCCUUCCUGUAAGGUCACGCAGAGUGACAUUGAUUUUCUACCGAGUGUGAAGGGCAUUUCUGCACUGAUACACCCACGCAGGAAGCCAAACCUAUAAUGAAGUAGUCAUCAUGGAGCAAAUCCCCCCCCCCCCCCCCCCUCAAAACACAUUAACUAGAGAUGGUCUUUAACCAUAUCACUUUACACAUUCUGCAGCCAGCAAACACAAGCAAGUGAUAACAGCCAUGGCUUGCCCUCUUUUUCCCUUAUUGUGUGUGUGUGUGCACGCUAACGCUUUACAGAGUUGUGUGUGUCAUGUUUCGUUUCCUGCCAGCCGGAGGAGGUGAAGGACACAGAACCGGUGUCAGGGCUCAUUUGGCGAAGCGCGCUAGCGGCUUCCAAAGCGUGAGCAGCAGACUAGGACGUCCAAUUAGGAAUUAUUCCUCGCAAAUUUUGGAAA